rnacentral:lncRNA from 1 species
AGUGAGCCUAAGAAAGCCCCAGCAUUUCAGGCCAAGCCGCUGGCUGCCUGGCUUCUGUUUUUACUCCUUUCCUUCUGUCCCUUUCUGGGACGAGCCACACCUUCUCUGCUUUCUCUGGGCCCGUCCAGGACGCUGGGCCCGGGGCCUGGCGCGGUGAGCUGCAGAUAGCCGGGGGCGCAGGGCAGCCCGGAGGCUGGAGGGCGACCUGGAAGGCUGGACCGGUUCGGGGCAUCUGGUGCUCAAGGAAAGUCAGCUCCCGCCGCCCCUCGGGGCCAGGUGGGUGCAUGAAGUACCCGGUGGCCCAGGUGCCUUUCCCCAACCCAAGGAGCUCAGAACUCUUGGCAGUUCGACGUUUGCAAACAAACCAAAGAGGAGCAGAAAGUUUUCAGACUCAGAGGCGACAUCCCAACAGCUUGGCUUGAAGGAGUACUUUAGGACUCAGAACAACAGGAUGAAGACAGCAGCUAAAAUAGAACACACCAGCAGAGACGUUCAGCUCCUUGAGCUGUGCUUCCGAAGCUCAAGCAUGGCAGAGUGGCCUUGUUAAAUCAGAGUUCAGGGUGCCACCCUGACAGUUUCUGAUUCCGUAGGUGCCCAGUAGGGACCAAGAAUCCUUUUUUUUUUUCCUUUUUCUUUUUAAUAGAGUCAGGGUCUUGCUAUGUUGCCCACAUGGGUCUCAAAUUCAAGCGAUCCUCCCACCUCGACCUCCCAAAGCACUGGAAUUCCAGGCAUAAGCCACCGUGCCUGGCCAAGAACGUUUUUUUUUUUAACAAGUUUCUAAAUGAUGCUGGUCUAUUGGUCCUGGGACCACACUUUGAAAUUGGUGGGAUAGGAGGCUGGGAUCUUUAUCCAUUCACUCAACUCCCAUUCCCCAUGGUUGAAAGUUUCCCUGGGGCAUCCCUGGGAGGCCUGGGGGCUGACAAGAUUCAAACGUUUUGGUGAAAAGCCCCAAGACAGUGAAGUGGGGUGUGCUUGAAGUGGGGCACCGUCAUCACCCACCUACCCACCACAGAGGUGAGCUAAAAGGUUACCAGACCGGAGCCUCCAGCAAUCCAGGAGCACAAACAAGGAUGCCUUAAAACAAAACUUGUGUCAGGGUACCCUUCGCUGCCUCAGAGGAAAUCAGAAUGACCUGGUGGACAACUGUUCAUAAGGACAAGAGCCAGUAUCACUGCCUUUGAGUCCCAGCCUCCUCAAAUCCAUUUUCUGCCCUGCACCACCUCAUCAUAUCCCGGAUAUUGUUAGUGUCGUGUCAUUUCAUGACUCAGGAGCUGCGGGUGACUUUGGCUGCCCUGACAUUUGUUAAAUUGGCUCCUGGGUCCUGGUUUGCAAAUGUUGCCACUUUGAGAUCCGUAGAUGGUCAUCCCUGGCUCCCUUGGGGAGUGUCCUGGAAUCCACCAGCUCCAUCUGCUCGACAAGAGACUUGAGUUUGUUCUGUUACCUCUUUCAUCAUUAGCCAAAGCUCCGGGACUUGGUUAAAACUUUAGGCAAUUAAAAAGACUGACUUAUGGA